rnacentral:rRNA from 1 species
GGCCAUGUUGGUUAACAGAUCCUCAUCUGCUGGACGUCUGGCGAUGAUCUUUAUCGGUUGUCGUCAGUUGCCAGCACGUUUACUUUGAGAAAAUUAGAGUGCUAAAAGCAGGCUCACGCCUAUAUAUAUUGCAUGGAAUAAUGAAAUAAGAUCUCGAUUUUAUUUCGUUGGUUUUAGAAAUUGAGAUAAUGAUUAAUAGGAUCAGAGGGGGGCGUACGUACUGUGGUGUGAGAGGUGAAAUUCUUGGAUCGCCACAGGACGAACAGCAGCGAAGGCGUUCGCCAAGAAUGUUUUCAUUAAUCAAGAACGAAAGUUUGAGGUUCGAAGACGAUUAGAUACCGUCCUAGUUCAAACCAUAAACGUUGCCAACUGUCUUUUAGAUGCGGUUAUUUAUAUGACUCAUCUGGCGGAUCUCGAGAAAUCUAAGUUUUUAGGUUCCGGGGGAAGUAUGGUUGCAAAGCUGAAACUUAAAAGAAUUGACGGAAGGACACACAAGAAGUGGAGCCUGUGGCCUAAUUUGACUCAACACGGGAAACCUUACUCGGCCAGGACACUUUUAGGAUUGACAGAUUGAGAGCUCUUUCUUGAUUAGGUGGGUGGUGGUGCAUGGUCGUUCGUAGUUCGUGGAGCGAUUUGUCGGAUUAAUUUCGAUAACGAACGAGACUCCGGCUUACUAAAUAGUCUAAAGUUCGAAGGGACUUUUCAAGACUUAUUAGCAGGAUAAGUGG